rnacentral:rRNA from 1 species
GACGAACGCUGGCGGCGCGCCUAACACAUGCAAGUCGAACGAGCGAGCGAGAGCUUGCUUUCUCGAGCGAGUGGCGAACGGGUGAGUAACGCGUGAGGAACCUGCCUCAAAGAGGGGGACAACAGUUGGAAACGACUGCUAAUACCGCAUAAGCCCACGACCCGGCAUCGGGUAGAGGGAAAAGGAGCAAUCCGCUUUGAGAUGGCCUCGCGUCCGAUUAGCUAGUUGGUGAGGUAACGGCCCACCAAGGCGACGAUCGGUAGCCGGACUGAGAGGUUGAACGGCCACAUUGGGACUGAGACACGGCCCAGACUCCGACGGGAGGCAGCAGUGGGGAAUAUUGCACAAUGGGGGAAACCCUGAUGCAGCGACGCGGCGUGGAGGAAGAAGGUCUUCGGAUUGUAAACUCCUGUUGUGGAGGAAGAUAAUGACGGUACUCAACAAGGAAGUGACGGCUAACUACGUG